rnacentral:rRNA from 1 species
UACGAAGGGGACUAGCGUUGUUCGGAAUUACUGGGCGUAAAGCGCACGUAGGCGGAUCGAUCAGUCAGGGGUGAAAUCCCAGAGCUCAACUCUGGAACUGCCUUUGAUACUGUCGAUCUGGAGUAUGGAAGAGGUGAGUGGAAUUCCGAGUGUAGAGGUGAAAUUCGUAGAUAUUCGGAGGAACACCAGUGGCGAAGGCGGCUCACUGGUCCAUUACUGACGCUGAGGUGCGAAAGCGUGGGGAGCAAACAGG